rnacentral:rRNA from 1 species
UACAGAGGGGGGCCAGCGUUGUUCGGAAUUACUGGGUGUAAAGGGUGCGCAGGUGGUCCGCUAAGUUCGAUGUGAAAUCCCCUGGGCUCAACUCAGGAACGGCAUUGGAUACUGGCGGGCUAGAGUACCGGAGAGGGAAGCGGAAUUCCUGGUGUAGCGGUGAAAUGCGUAGAUACCAGGAGGAACACCGGUGGCGAAGGCGGCUUCCUGGCCGAGUACUGACGCUCUGCACGAAAGCGUGGGGGAGCAAACGG